UUCCCCUAGUAACGGCGAGUGAAGCGGGAAAAGCUCAAAUUUAAAAUCUGGCUGUCUUUGAUAGUCCGAGUUGUAAUCUAGAGAAGCGUUUUCCGUGCUGGACUGUGUACAAGUUUCCUGGAUACGGAACAUCAUAGAGGGUGAGAAUCCCGUCCUUGACACAGACUCCCAGUGCUCUGCGAUGCGCUCUCGACGAGUCGAGUUGUUUGGGAUUGCAGCUCAAAAUGGGAGGUAAAUUCCUUCUAAAGCUAAAUAUUGGCGAGAGACCGAUAGCGAACAAGUACCGUGAGGGAAAGAUGAAAAGCACUUUGGAAAGAGAGUUAAACAGUACGUGAAAUUGUUAAAAGGGAAACGCUUGAAGUCAGUCGCGUUUACUUGGACUCAGCCAGGCCUCGGUUUGGUGCAUUUCCUUGUGAACGGGCCAGCGUCCAUGUUAUCUGCUGGAAAAGGUUCAGAGGAAUGUGGCUCUUUCGGGAGUGUUAUAGCCUCUGUUCGUAUACAGCGUGUGAUAUGGAGUGGUACAGCACGUUCUUUGGUGCUUGUGCUGGCAUAAUGGCUUUAAACGACCCGUCUUGAAACACGGACCAAGGAGUCUAACAUGUCUGCGAGUGUUUGGGUGGAAAACCCGAGCGCGUAAUGAAAGUGAUAGCUGGGAACCCCUCACGGGAGGCACCGGCGCCCCGAGCUGAUCUUCUGUGACGCAUCGGAGGUAGAGCAUAUAUGUUGGGACCCGAAAGAUGGUGAACUAUGCCUGCAUAGGGCGAAGCCAGAGGAAACUCUGGUGGAGGCUCGUAGCGAUUCUGACGUGCAAAUCGAUCGUCAAAUGUGGGUAUAGGGGCGAAAGACUAAUCGAACCAU
rnacentral:rRNA from 1 species